rnacentral:rRNA from 1 species
UACGAAGGGGGCUAGCGUUGCUCGGAAUCACUGGGCGUAAAGGGUGCGUAGGCGGGUCUUUAAGUCAGGGGUGAAAUCCUGGAGCUCAACUCCAGAACUGCCUUUGAUACUGAGGAUCUUGAGUUCGGGAGAGGUGAGUGGAACUGCGAGUGUAGAGGUGAAAUUCGUAGAUAUUCGCAAGAACACCAGUGGCGAAGGCGGCUCACUGGCCCGAUACUGACGCUGACGGC